rnacentral:tRNA from 1 species
GGGACUGUAGCUCAGUGGUAGAAUGCUUGCCUAACAUGCAGGGGGUCCUGGGUUCAGUCCCUAGCACCUCUG